CAUGCAAGUCGAGCGCCCCGCAAGGGGAGCGGCAGACGGGUGAGUAACGCGUGGGAAUCUACCCUUUUCUACGGAAUAACGCAGGGAAACUUGUGCUAAUACCGUAUGAGCCCUUCGGGGGAAAGAUUUAUCGGGAAAGGAUGAGCCCGCGUUGGAUUAGCUAGUUGGUGGGGUAAAGGCCUACCAAGGCGACGAUCCAUAGCUGGUCUGAGAGGAUGAUCAGCCACAUUGGGACUGAGACACGGCCCAAACUCCUACGG
rnacentral:rRNA from 1 species